CCAAUUUUUACCAAAGGCACCUUGCAAUUUUAACCAAAUAUUUUUUAAAUUUCGUUGCUCCACCGUUCCGAAUUUUAUCCAAAUAUUUUUUAAAUUUCGUUGCUCCACCGUUCCAAUUUUUACCAAAUGCACCUUGCAAUUUUAUCCAAAUAUUUUUUAAAAAAUUUCGUUGCUCCACCGUUCCGUACCAUUUAAACAUCAUGCAAAUAUAUUCUUUUUAGUAAAUUUCACAAAACUAUAUAUACGUUUUAUCGAACUAUCAAAAAACUACAGAUUUAAAACAUUGUAUCACAUAUAACACUAAAUUUAUCACAAGAUUUGAUAUAUAUUGAAGUUAUGAUAAAACUAUAGAUUUUAUAGUUCAGAUCUCUAGCAUUGAUGUCAUAUAGGGCUAUAAGUGUUAUAGUUUUGUGAUUAAAUGGAUUCGAAGCCAGUAGUUUUGUGAUAAGAUUUUUUUAUUAAAUCUGUAAUUUCAUGAUACUUGAACUUAAAUCUAUUGUUUUGUUAUAAAUGUAAUACUACCUCCGUCCCAAAAUAUAGCCAUUAAAAAUGUUUAUAUUUUGGGACGGAGUGAGUAUUAAAUUUGUAGUUUUGUGAUAUAACAUCUUAAAUCUGUAUCUUUACUAUUUGUAG
rnacentral:precursor_RNA from 1 species